UGUAAAUGCAGAUACAAAGUUUAUUAUUAGAGAUAUAGCAUAACAGCAAGUGGGAGAGCACACAGAGAAAUGGUUUGUUUAGUUUGAAGACAGGCAGAGACGCACACCCAGAGAGAAAGGCUGUGGGUGUCCUCCCUAGUGAGGAGGAAUGCAGUAAAGAGGUUAUAUAGCUCAGUUCUGGGUCUUUGUUUCCAUUCAGGCCAAUUAUGUGGUUUCUUUUUCCUCACCUGACCUACUUGGGACCCUCCCCUGGGCGCACAGGCACCCCUCAGCCAAGAUGGAUCUUGAAGUGACGGCUUCUGAGAGGAGCAAGACUCAUUAUGGCCUGGUGUUAUCCUCUGCCUUUUGGCCCACAAAGAACCUUUCUGCACAUCUGUAGUGUCUCCCUUGUCCCAAAAGAGGGGGCAGGGAGAUCCCUUAAUCCUUUACUGAAACAGGGUUUUUUGCUCCUCUUUGUCCUUGCCAUGACUAUUACCUUCAGGUGCUUACAAGAGAGAAACACUGGCUUAUUUACCCUGUUUAUGCUGUUACCUGCGUUUCAGAGGGCAAUCAGAAGUCUGAUUGAAAAUGUCUUAACUGGAGCCCACCCAUCUCUAGUCUCAGAAAAUGCUAACAGUUCUAAAUACCCAGCCUGAAGCCUACUUCUUGGUGCCCCAUGAAAUGCAAACAGGAGGCCAGCUGUAAAUAUCUAACCUGGAGCCUAUCUAUCGCCUACAUCACAACUCUCACAUCCAUACAUGACUUCUAGAAAAACCAUAGUUUUGACUAUACAGAGUUUUGUCAGCCAAGUUAUGUCUCUGCUUUUUAGAAUGCUGUCUAGAUUUGUCAUAGCUUUUCCCAAGGGGCAAGCAUCACUGCUGCAGUGAUUUGGGAGCCCAAGAAAAUAAAAUCUGCCACGGUUUCCAUUCUUUCCCCAUCUGUUUGUCAUGAAAUGAUGGGACCAGAUGCCAUGAUCUUAGUUUUCUAAAUGUUGAGUUUUAAAGCCAGCUUUUUCACUCUCCUCUUUCACCCUCAUCAAGAGGCUCUUUAGUUUCUCUUCACUUUCUGCCAUUAGGAGCCAGGAUACAUAGGAGUUUUUGCUGCAAAAAAAAAUGUAGUCAAACAUCAGAAGAUAACUGCUAGUCACAAAAAACAAAUCUCUCAAGUUAAUGAUUUUAGUGUGUGGGAAGAGGCAAGAGUCUGGGCUCACUGACCUUUGAUAUGCAUCUUAAUUAUCUAGGGCCAGUAUCUUGUUUCUCUCCAUCCUGAAUGCCCCUCAGGGUGCACAUGGAGGGCAGCUGCAGUGGCUGAUGGCUUGAUGGUGGGCAAGAAUUUUUUUUGUUGUUCACUUGGUGAAGGAAAAUACAGCAGGUUCUAAGCAAGGGAGUGGGAGACAAGCCUCAGAUCUUCUUCACCUUAGUCUCUGAGUUAGGGUUUUUAAAGAGGAAGAAUGAAGAGGCUGGGAUUAAUCAUUGUCUUGCGACAUUCGUUAAUUGUUGUUUCAGGAGCCAAAGUAUCUCCGAUUAUGAUUCUUCAACCAGAUGGUCCCAUAGUUGGUGGGGGGGGUGGGGGGGACGUCUGUUAGUUCAACUUGCCCUGGAGAA
ensembl:lncRNA